CCUACGGGAGGCAGCAGUGGGGAAUAUUGGACAAUGGGGGGAACCCUGAUCCAGCCAUGCCGCGUGUGUGAAGAAGGCCCUCGGGUUGUAAAGCACUUUCAGUGAGGAAGAACGCCUGGUGGUUAAUACCCAUCAGGAAAGACAUCACUCACAGAAGAAGAACCGGCUAACUCCGUGCCAGCAGCCGCGGUAAUACGGAGGGUGCGAGUGUUAAUCGGAAUUACUGGGCGUAAAGCGCGCGUAGGUGGCUUGAUAAGCCGGUUGUGAAAGCCCCGGGCUCAACCUGGGAACGGCAUCCGGAACUGUCAAGCUAGAGUGCAGGAGAGGAAGGUAGAAUUCCCGGUGUAGCGGUGAAAUGCGUAGAGAUCGGGAGGAAUACCAGUGGCGAAGGCGGCCUUCUGGACUGACACUGACACUGAGGUGCGAAAGCGUGGGUAGCAAACAGGAUUAGAUACCCCUGUAGUC
rnacentral:rRNA from 1 species